UUCCGGUUGAUCCUGCCGGACCUGACUGCUAUCGGAUUGAUACUAAGCCAUGUGAGUCAUUGUAGCAAUACAAGGCAGACGGCUCAGUAACACGUAGUCAAUCUACCCUAUGGACGGGGAUAACCUCGGGAAACUGAGGAUAACACCCGAUAGAUCAUAAUGCCUGGAACGGUUUAUGGUCCAAACGAUUCGUCGCCGUAGGAUGGGACUGCGGCCUAUCAGCUUGUUGGUGAGGUAAUGGCCCACCAAGGCUAUUACAGGUACGGGCUCUGAAAGGAGAAGCCCGGAGAUGGGUACUGAGACACGGACCCAGGCCCUAUGGGGCGCAGCAGGCGAGAAACCUUUGCAAUGUGCGCAAGCACGACAAGGUUAAUCCGAGUGUUUCCUGCUAAAGGAAUCUUUUGUUAGUCGUAAAACCACUAUCGAAUAAGGGGUGGGCAAGUUCUGGUGUCAGCCGCCGCGGUAAAACCAGCACCUCAAGUGGUCAGGAGGAUUAUUGGGCCUAAAGCAUCCGUAGCCUGUUCUAUAAGUUUCCGGUUAAAUCCAUUAGCUCAACUAAUGGGCUGCCGAAAAUACUGUAGAACUAGGGAGUGGGAGAGGUAGACGGUAUUCGGUAGGAAGGGGUAAAAUCCUUUGAUCUAUUGAGGACCACCUGUGGCGAAGGCGGUCUACCAGAACACGUUCGACGGUGAGGGAUGAAAGCUGGGGGAGCAAACCGGAUUAGAUACCCGGGUAGUCCCAGCCGUAAACGAUGCAGACUCGGUGAUGCGCUGGCUUGUGGCCAGUGCAGUGCCGCAGGGAAGCCGUUAAGUUUGCCGCCUGGGAAGUACGUACGCAAGUAUGAAACUUAAAGGAAUUGGCGGGGGAGCACCACAAGGGGUGAAGCCUGCGGUUCAAUUGGAUUCAACGCCGGG
rnacentral:rRNA from 1 species